UACGUAGGUGACCAGCGUUGUCCGGAUUUACUGGGCGUAAAGAGCGCGCAGGCGGUCGUUCAAGUCGAGUGUGAAAGCCCCCGGCUCAACUGGGGAGGGUCACUCGAUACUGAUCGACUUGAAGGCAGGAGAGGGAAGCGGAAUUCCCGGUGUAGUGGUGAAAUGCGUAGAUAUCGGGAGGAACACCGGUGGCGAAGGCGGUUCUCUGGGCCUGUACUGACGCUGAGGAGCGAAAGCGUGGGGAGCGAACAGG
rnacentral:rRNA from 1 species